GGGUUGUGAGGUUAAGCGACUAAGCGUACACGGUGGAUGCCCUGGCAGUCAGAGGCGAUGAAGGACGUGCUAAUCUGCGAUAAGCGCCGGUAAGGUGAUAUGAACCGUUAUAACCGGCGAUUUCCGAAUGGGGAAACCCAGUGUGACUCGUCACACUAUCAUUAACUGAAUCCAUAGGUUAAUGAGGCGAACCGGGGGAACUGAAACAUCUAAGUACCCCGAGGAAAAGAAAUCAACCGAGAUUCCCCCAGUAGCGGCGAGCGAACGGGGAGGAGCCCAGAGCCUGAAUCAGCAUGUGUGUUAGUGGAAGCGUCUGGAAAGGCGCGCGAUACAGGGUGACAGCCCCGUACACAAAAGCGCAUGUGCUGUGAGCUCGAUGAGUAGGGCGGGACACGUGGUAUCCUGUCUGAAUAUGGGGGGACCAUCCUCCAAGGCUAAAUACUCCUGACUGACCGAUAGUGAACCAGUACCGUGAGGGAAAGGCGAAAAGAACCCCGGCGAGGGGAGUGAAAAAGAACCUGAAACCGUGUACGUACAAGCAGUGGGAGCACAGGUUUACCUGUGUGACUGCGUACCUUUUGUAUAAUGGGUCAGCGACUUAUAUUCUGUAGCAAGGUUAACCGCAUAGGGGAGCCGCAGGGAAACCGAGUCUUAACCGGGCGUUAAGUUGCAGGGUAUAGACCCGAAACCCGGUGAUCUAGCCAUGGGCAGGUUGAAGGUUGGGUAACACUAACUGGAGGACCGAACCGACUAAUGUUGAAAAAUUAGCGGAUGACCUGUGGCUGGGGGUGAAAGGCCAAUCAAACCGGGAGAUAGCUGGUUCUCCCCGAAAGCUAUUUAGGUAGCGCCUCGUGAAUUCAUCUCCGGGGGUAGAGCACUGUUUCGGCUAGGGGGCCAUCCCGGCUUACCAACCCGAUGCAAACUGCGAAUACCGGAGAAUGUUAUCACGGGAGACACACGGCGGGUGCUAACGUCCGUCGUGAAGAGGGAAACAACCCAGACCGCCAGCUAAGGUCCCAAAGUCAUGGUUAAGUGGGAAACGAUGUGGGAAGGCCCAGACAGCCAGGAUGUUGGCUUAGAAGCAGCCAUCAUUUAAAGAAAGCGUAAUAGCUCACUGGUCGAGUCGGCCUGCGCGGAAGAUGUAACGGGGCUAAACCAUGCACCGAAGCUGCGGCAGCGAACGUAUCACCCAAGACAACUUUGCGGAGUUGACGAUUGACGGAGCGAAGCGACGUCAAAGCGUUCAUUAAAGUCGAGUUGGCUUAGGGAUACGUUCGUUGGGUAGGGGAGCGUUCUGUAAGCCUGUGAAGGUAUGCUGUGAGGCAUGCUGGAGGUAUCAGAAGUGCGAAUGCUGACAUAAGUAACGAUAAAGCGGGUGAAAAGCCCGCUCGCCGGAAGACCAAGGGUUCCUGUCCAACGUUAAUCGGGGCAGGGUGAGUCGACCCCUAAGGCGAGGCCGAAAGGCGUAGUCGAUGGGAAACGGGUUAAUAUUCCCGUACUUGGUGUUACUGCGAAGGGGGGACGGAGAAGGCUAUGUUGGCCGGGCGACGGUUGUCCCGGUUUAAGCGUGUAGGUGUGUGUUCCAGGUAAAUCCGGUUCACUUUAACACUGAGGCGUGACGACGAGGCACUACGGUGCUGAAGCAACAAAUGCCCUGCUUCCAGGAAAAGCCUCUAAGCAUCAGGUAACAUCAAAUCGUACCCCAAACCGACACAGGUGGUCAGGUAGAGAAUACCAAGGCGCUUGAGAGAACUCGGGUGAAGGAACUAGGCAAAAUGGUGCCGUAACUUCGGGAGAAGGCACGCUGACAUGUAGGUGAAGUGAUUUACUCAUGGAGCUGAAGUCAGUCGAAGAUACCAGCUGGCUGCAACUGUUUAUUAAAAACACAGCACUGUGCAAACACGAAAGUGGACGUAUACGGUGUGACGCCUGCCCGGUGCCGGAAGGUUAAUUGAUGGGGUCAGCGCAAGCGAAGCUCCUGAUCGAAGCCCCGGUAAACGGCGGCCGUAACUAUAACGGUCCUAAGGUAGCGAAAUUCCUUGUCGGGUAAGUUCCGACCUGCACGAAUGGCGUAAUGAUGGCCAGGCUGUCUCCACCCGAGACUCAGUGAAAUUGAACUCGCUGUGAAGAUGCAGUGUACCCGCGGCAAGACGGAAAGACCCCGUGAACCUUUACUAUAGCUUGACACUGAACAUUGAGCCUUGAUGUGUAGGAUAGGUGGGAGGCUUUGAAGUGUGGACGCCAGUCUGCAUGGAGCCGACCUUGAAAUACCACCCUUUAAUGUUUGAUGUUCUAACGUGGACCCGUAAUCCGGGUUGCGGACAGUGUCUGGUGGGUAGUUUGACUGGGGCGGUCUCCUCCUAAAGAGUAACGGAGGAGCACGAAGGUUGGCUAAUCCUGGUCGGACAUCAGGAGGUUAGUGCAAUGGCAUAAGCCAGCUUGACUGCGAGCGUGACGGCGCGAGCAGGUGCGAAAGCAGGUCAUAGUGAUCCGGUGGUUCUGAAUGGAAGGGCCAUCGCUCAACGGAUAAAAGGUACUCCGGGGAUAACAGGCUGAUACCGCCCAAGAGUUCAUAUCGACGGCGGUGUUUGGCACCUCGAUGUCGGCUCAUCACAUCCUGGGGCUGAAGUAGGUCCCAAGGGUAUGGCUGUUCGCCAUUUAAAGUGGUACGCGAGCUGGGUUUAGAACGUCGUGAGACAGUUCGGUCCCUAUCUGCCGUGGGCGCUGGAGAACUGAGGGGGGCUGCUCCUAGUACGAGAGGACCGGAGUGGACGCAUCACUGGUGUUCGGGUUGUCAUGCCAAUGGCACUGCCCGGUAGCUAAAUGCGGAAGAGAUAAGUGCUGAAAGCAUCUAAGCACGAAACUUGCCCCGAGAUGAGUUCUCCCUGAGACUUAAAGUCUCCUGAAGGAACGUUGAAGACGACGACGUUGAUAGGCCGGGUGUGUAAGCGCAGCGAUGCGUUGAGCUAACCGGUACUAAUGAACCGUGAGGCUUAACCUUACAACGCCGAAG
rnacentral:rRNA from 1 species